UGGGGGAUAUUGCACAAUGGGCGAAAGCCUGAUGCAGCGACGCCGCGUGGGGGAUGAAGGCCUUCGGGUUGUAAACUUCUUUUGCUCUGAACAAGGCGCACCAUGGGGUGUGUUGAGUGUAGGGGUUGAUUAGCGCCGGCUAACUACGUGCCAGCAGCCGCGGUAAUACGUUGGGCGCGAGCGUUGUCCGGAAUUAUUGGGCGUAAAGGGCUUGUAGGUGGCUGGUUGCGUCUGUCGUGAAAGCUCAUGGCUUAACUGUGGGUUUGCGGUGGGUACGGGCUGGCUUGAGUGCAGUAGGGGAGGCUGGAAUUCCUGGUGUAGCGGUGGAAUGCGCAGAUAUCAGGAGGAAUACCGGUGGCGAAGGCGGGUCUCUGGGCUGUUACUGACACUGAGGAGCGAAAGCAUGGGGAGCGAACAGG
rnacentral:rRNA from 1 species